GCCAAUGUGGCUCAGUCGGUAGAGCAGCGCAUUCGUAAUGCGCAGGUCAUCGGUUCGAAUCCGAUCAUUGGCUCCA
rnacentral:tRNA from 1 species